rnacentral:lncRNA from 1 species
UGAGUGAUAAUAUGGGAAUAGAGAAUAGAGCAAUUAUAGUAUAUGGGCGAUGGUAGCAGAAUAGAGAGGAUAACUAUGGUUUCUCUACUUCAAAGGAGUAUGUCUAUGUCUGGGACGAACCACGUGAUAAGAGUACACCACAAAGGAUGCUUAUCCUUAGGCCGAUAAACCCUACCCGUCCUGCUAACGAGAGGUGGACUACAGAGGACCAACGUAACUGUCACCUACGCGGCCUACCACACGAUCUAGCUAGACAGGGGAUAUCCAUAAGUAAUCUAGGUCUAAGCACCACGCUUACACCUAUACUACAACUCUCACCUAUAGCGUCCUAUAGAUUAAAGUACUCAAAAGAGUUGUGAACCAGAACAUACAUAAUUAGUAAUUGCAUAAUGAAUUAGAAGUAGAUUACCAGAGUCAUCCCAUGAGCAAGCUUGAUUAGAGCUUGAUCAUGACAAAGUACAACCGGAGGAAGAACCGACAGGCCGGCCUCUCCUCUAAUCCUCCUUCGCUCUCCAUCUUGCUACUAUCUAGAUCUACUCUAGUUUAGAGAAGAGAGGAGAGCUCUCAUCUCUAAACCCUAGCUUUUGCUCUGUCUAUGAAUAAUGAAUAAUGAUCAAGGGGUGCCUCCUCCAGGGGCCAGGGGGUCUGGUUAUAUAGUCUUUUCAGAUGAAUCUAGGCCGUCGGAUCAAACCGACAUUGAUCGUGUGGUUUUCCUUGAAGUAUUAGGUCGGUGGAGCAUGAUCCGCGAAGUUGAAGCUGAUUGGUUACUGUAGCUAGGCGGGCACCCAAGGGACUUGGGCGGGCGCCCUGCCCCCGGGCCCGAUCGGCAUCCCGUUCGUUCCCGUGGCUUCUGGAGUCUUCUAGAUGGUAGAAAAUUGCGCGGCACGUUAAUAUCUCUAUGUAAACCCGACGUGUGGGCCUUUCUUUCAUAUUUCCUGAUAACCCCCUGCAGAAAUAGACAAACACCAAAACUCGUGGAAUUCUGUAAGAUAAAACCCUAAGUCUAGAUGUUGAUUUCAUUUGGAUCCUUUUCUUUGUUUAUUUGAUAAUGAAAUUUGAUACUUAAGGACCGUCAACAAAAUCCCCCAAGCUUACCUCUUGCUCGUCCCUGAGCAAGGAUAGACUUAGCAAAGGAUCAGAAGUUGUUGCAAUAUCUUAAAAAUUUGACGGUACACAUGCUUUUAAAUAAGAUCUCAUCUCUGAGUUAGAGUAAACUGUCAAGAACUAAAACUUACUUACUUUACCUUUCACCGUGGGACUUGUAACCGUCACUUCUGUCUUGAGUAGUUAAAAGAUAGAACAGUCUAGCCAAGUGCCAUGUCUCUUAUUCUUGAUCAGCUAUAGCUCUGGAGUUUUUGCAGAUUUUCAAAUAAAACUCAGAGAUUCCUUGUAUGACUCUCUAAAUCUCUCUUUUGUGGUAUUUCUGGAUCCUUACCAAGGCAGUGAUGGUAUAUGCCUUCUCUCAAGAUAUGUGGUAUUUGUGGUAUAAGGCAUAGUGACAUUGCCUUCUCUCUCACCCUACUCUAAUAAGGCUUUAAUAUCUGGAGCUCAUAGGUGGGAGAUAAAGUAUACAUACUUACAAGACAUUUAUUGUAUAGUCAAACCAUGGAUCCAAAGAAACAAAUCAAUAAGCCAAAUCAAGAUGUGCAUGUGUGGCGAAUGAAUGGUGUAUGGUGAUGAUGGUGAUAACAAUGGUGAAAGUCUAAUUCUACUUUUGCUCUUUUGAGGGGAUACAUACCUUCCUUGCUUUUUGAAACUUUAUGAGGAGAAUGAGAUGCUCUUCUUUUUCUUUCCUCUCAGGUGGGUAUCUUGUACCCCUAAUUCUACUAUCGGACACUUGUCCAUUUUUACCUCUCGUCUCACUUUUUUUCUUUUCUUUCGAGGUUCCGGGCACUUGCCCCUUUUUAUUUCCUCGUUUAUUUAUUUUUUUUCUUUUCUUCUCUUUUCUUUUUUUUCCAGAGCACUCAUCUCUUGAGAUAAUAUAGCAAGUGGUAGUAGCAAGAUAACUUGAGCAUUUAUUUCACAAGGGAAAACAGAAAUAUUUUUGGCUAUUCUCUCCCGGAUGAGGAGUAGAAUAUUUUUGGGUGGUUCUGGAGAUGGACAUGGAUGGAUAUAUGUGGAUGGUACUUCCGGAGUAGAAGUAGCAUAUAUGACUGAACGUGCAAGUGAAUCUUGAUUUAACCACAUGACAAGCUUCUAAGGGUCUACACAGCUUGACCACACUCAAUGCUCAUAAGCAGUAAAUCAUAAAUGUGUGGCUCAAAGUCUAGCAAGCAUGUAUAUAUGGCUGUGGUAGGAAUUUAAACUCUCAUCAUACAGAAACUCAUCAUGCAAUAUUUUAAUGAUUUUUCAAAGAUAAAAUUCUCUAGAAUUCUAGCAUCUGUAGGAAUAGAUAAACAGCAGCUCAACCUUCCCAUAUCAUAUCCGUUAACAACUUAGAUUUCAGAUCAAGUUUUCAUCCCACAAGUUUAGAUCUAGAGCAAGCUUUAAAUUAUAACAGUUAUGUCUAAACUUGAGAGAGAACUUCAAAUUUGCAAAUUAGGUAGAGCAACUAUUCAUCAUUUCCAUGUGAGAGCUUUAUUAUUAAGAUUCAGAUUAGCAUAGCCACUUUAUUUAUUUAUUAAACACACUAAGCAAAAGUUAUAUAUAUAAGCACAAAAUCUUUAUUUGGUUUUUCAUAGUUUAUGUAUUUUAAUAUUCUAAUAUAAUAUAAGUAUAAAGAUAGGUAAAAAUACUUAGCGAGAUAAAUGGGGGUGCUCUCUCCCAAGCUGAAUUUUGACGCAAUUUCUCUUGAUGAGCUAGCAUGUGGCAGAGGUGUAUUUGAAAGUCAGCAGCAUUCUGACAACGAUUAGAAUGUCCUCUGUCUGCUAGUCUUCUUGAUUCUUAAAUUAUGUGGAGCUCAAAUAGACAACAAAGCUUGUGGAACUAAUUAAGUGUUAGCAUAAAUAUCUAGCCUUCAUCAUGUUGAGCUUCCUCAAUAAAUAUUACUCCCUGUUUUUAUAGUUUUAUUUUAUAAAGCAGAAAAGAAAUAUUUAUUUUAUUUUUAUGCCACCACAGUGAAGGUACUUAUGGGUUUUAUGCCACUCGUAUACUCACAUGUGGCUUAGUAUUUUUUAAUAUUUUUAUUUUCUUUUCAAGAUAGCAUGAUUAACUAAUAAUCUAUUUAAAGAAAGUAAAUAAUUAAAGGGAAAAGGGAAUGCAGAAAGGAUAAAUAUGGAUAACUACUGAUCUUACCUUUCGGCGAGGGUUCAAUGUUUUAAGUCUUCUCAACAAGACUUCUCACCGUGUUCAUUCUUCAGGUGCGUCAUUGGAUUCAGGUGCGGACCAUGACGUCUGCACCUCUUCGUUUGCCCAGUAGUUCGAAGUGCGGCGUUGGCAGUAUCCUACUCAGUGUGUUUGUGCUCGUAGAUCUAGGUCCUUCACUUGGUAGAGUCUGAGAGUUAUAAAACUCCUCCGUGUUUUGCUCGAAGUGUACCUGCUCAUAGAGACAAGGCAGAGAUCAAGUGCAUGGGUCCUGUUGGUGGAAAACACCAACAGAACCUAAAGUGUAUUUGUUCUUCUCUAACCCUAAGCAUAGUGAGCAAGACAAAGUUGAUGGAUGAAAAGUUCAUGAGUGUAGCACUUAUAACAUUUGUCAGAUCUGAUCGCUCAAACUUAUGGAAAGAUAAUCUAUCUAUGUAUAUGUCUUUUUCUUUAUAUCUCUCAAUGAUUGAAUGUGUAACAUUUUAGCUCAUAUGAUUAGGAGUGUGGGAUCAUGGAGGUAGUACUAAGAACAAGGAUUAAAGGACUAAACAUGUUGAAUCAGUUGGGUUGGU